CGUGAGACAGGUUGGUCCCUAUCUACCGCAGGCGUUGAGUUUUGAGGAGAUUUGUUCCUAGUACGAGAGGACCGGAAUGAACUGACCUCUGGUGUAUCAGUUGUCCUGCCAAGGGCAUUGCUGAGUAGCUAAGUCGGGAAUAGAUAAGCGCUGAAAGCAUAUAAGCGCGAAACUAACUCCAAGAUGAGAACUCUUAGAUUUCCCGCAGAUGACGGGUUCAAUAGGCUCCAGGUGUAAGCCAAGUAAUUGGUUCAGCCGGGGAGUACUAAUAAAUCAUUUAUUUCUUCGA
rfam:Parcubacteria bacterium GW2011_GWA2_37_10 TS35_C0011, whole genome shotgun sequence.